AAAUAAAGUAAUUAAAUAAUAUUUAGAUAUCGUAACUUAAAUCCAAUAUUACUAGGCUAUAUGUGUCAAUAAACUGUUCGAAAAUGUCUUACUUCUGUGGCGAUAUUCCUUAGAUAAUAGUGCAUCCAACUUAGUUCCUGGUUAGCCGUAUAUUUUUAACAAAACUAUGUAUUUAUUUCCCUUAAAUAUAAACCUAAACAGUUCGAUCUGUAUUUCAUUGUCUGAUGCAAUCGUUAAGUGCAAAGUUCACUUCCGGCGUUCGUGCGGUUCACGUGAAUACCACGCUACCGAUCCACUCUCCCCCCGCGAUGAGGAUACCUCCUCAUCCCAUAACUUUAAUACUUAUCUCCGUGUCCUUCUGCCGGAUAUAUUACUGCGAUCUUGGUGAUAGGCCUUUCAUAGUAUGAGGUUGCCGUCUUCACUUUCAGGUUGCGUAUUUUUCCAUCCUUUCCAGGAAACACGUUAACAACUCUGCCAGUAAUCCAAUUUCCACGAACGGCAUUCGAAUCUUGAACGACUACGAUAUCAUCAACUCUGACAUUUCUUCUCUCGACCUUCCAUUUUUUCCUCGGUACUAGUGAUGGAAAAACAUCUCUGUACCAAAAACUAUCGAUAACCUUCUGAAUAAAUUCAACACGGUGUCGUGGGUUUUUCGUCUCUCGGAAUGGUCCCUGCGGUACCACAGUUGACGCUCGACCAAGAAGAAUAUCAUUGGGACACAGGAAACUUCCAUCAUCUGGGUCGUUGGGAAUCCUUCCAAUAGGCCUUUGAUUUAUCAGGUUAGCAGCUUCCAGCAAGUAUGUGUAUAGUUCAAAUGGGGUCAAAACUUGUUCACCAAUGGCGGUCUUCAGGGCUUUCUUUGAACUCUUUACCAUCGCUUCGGCGCAUCCGUUGUGGUGGGGCGCGACUGGAGUUAUGAACUUCCACUCCAUUCCUUUCUCAGCGCUGAAUUCCUUUAACUCUUUUUCAUUCCAUCCCUUUAUCAUCUCUCGGAGUUCACGCUCUGCUCCUACCAGUUGAGUACCGUUAUCAGAGAUCAUCAAUGCUGGUUGUCCUCGUAUUGCGAAGAAUCUGCGUAGCGUUUGUAGGAAUUCCAUUGUGGAGUAGUCGACUGCGAUUUCCAGAUGCACGGCUCGGGUAUUCAAGCAAGUAAAGAGAACGCCAUAAUGCUUCGUCGUCUUGCUUCGACCUAUCUUAACGUGGUAUGGACCGAAGUAAUCGCAUGCCGUGCGAUGGAAUGGUGGUGUAAGUGGCUCCAGACGGGUAAUUGGUAAAUCUGACAUGAACUGCUGUUCGACUUUCGCUUGAAUUCGGCGGCAGUCUACGCAUUGAAACUUUACCGACUUAGCAAGAUCAUGACAUCGAAUAAUCCAAUACUUUUUCUUGAUUUUUGCGACGGUUGUUGCAACUCCUGAAUGGCCAAUUUGGUGGUAAUAUCGAGUAAUCAGAAGAGACGUCCAGUGUUCACGUGGGAGUAAUACCGGGUGCUUAGCGUCGUAAGAGAUCACUGCUUUGUUUACGCGUCCUCCAACUCUGAUAAUACCCUCUUUGUCGAUGAAUGGCGUUAGUCCUUUAAGUUCUCCCUUUCUCAGGCGAGCGUGUAGUGACUUUUGACUUUGCUUUAUCCAGUACGAUUCUGCAUCUUGCAACUCUUUCGCGGAAGUCGGUUCAACCUCGGGU
rnacentral:lncRNA from 1 species